GAGUUUUUAACACGCAGAGUCAUUUGCACUCAGCUGCCAGCAAUUCCCCCAUUACAGUUAAGGUUCUCCCACCCAAGCAGUGGUUCCUAUGAGGUUUCUGCUUCUGAGUCUCUGCUCCGCAUUUAGAGCAGUGGUUCUCAACCAAGGGGGAGUCUCUUUCCCAGGAGACAUUUGGCAAUGUCUGGAGAUAAUUUUUGCUGUUAUUUUGGGAAGGGGCCACGCUACUGUCAUCUGGGGACCUGAAAGAUGAUGGCAUCCUUUUGGCAUUGCUCCUAGACUGCCUCUCCUCGUGGUUGCCAAAUGACUGUAGAACUUCCCAACAUCGCCUCACAGCAAUCUUCACAAGAAAAUCUUUUCAGAAGACUCAAAAAUCAACUUCCCUUCUAAUUUUAUUGGCCGGAAUUAGGUCACAUGUCCACCCCUAAGCCACUCAGCGGCCAAGAAGAAUGUCAUCUUGGACUGGCCUGGCUGAUCAGGGUCUCUUUAGAGGUGGAAUCUGAAGUCACCCACCUCUAAGUCAUGUGGCAAAUAAAUAAAUUCCUGAAAAAAAAUGUAUUUCUUUUAGCAAAAUAGAAAGGUUGAAGGUCCUCACAUGUAGGCAACAAAAGUUUCUGCCAAACUAUGUAUCUUGCAAAUCGUUCUUACUGGACAAAUCAUAUAAAGGAGCUUAGAGACCAUUAUUUGUACAUUAUAAACCAAUGCUAGAAAUCUUCAUUUGCAUCCUGAUUUUUGAAUUUUAGAAUACUACCUUUAUUCUCACUGCUUAGGUGAUAUUAUGAGGUUAAUAUGAUCCAGAUUUUUCAUAAAAGUUUUUGAAAAUAUGGAAUGUGAUUGAAGAGUGUAGAAAUAACUUUAAAGCCUUUACAUAUAGAAAGGAAAACUAUUUGUCAUUUAAAAAAUCACCAUUGAACCAUUUCUUCCCAUUUUGAUGGACUUUAAUAUCUUUUAUUGUGAAAUAUUUUUAAAGAGUUUCAAGGCUCUUUUAUGAUUAGGUUUUAGAAAUAUAGUGUUUAUUUUUUUAGAAAUGGGUUUUUGGAAUGAGGUUACUCUUUGAUAGUCUGAUUCAUCUCUGGGCCUUGCUCGGCUGCAUAACUCAGUCCCGUCAUAGUGAUGGUCCUUGUACUGAAUGGUAGGCUUCACAUUUCACUGGUGCAGAAUUUAUUACACUUUUCUAAAGGCCCCACUUCCUCUGAUAUUUAAAAAUCAUCUUACUUAAAAACUUAAACAGAAAUAUAUUUUGUAUUUGCCAGUUAUUGAAAUGUCGGAUGAUGUUUAAAAUGUCCAUUAAUGCAUAACAAUCCACAUGCAUAUCUCUACAGUGAUACUUCUCAGAGCAGAGAAAUAUUAUUCAAUAUGUAGCCAUUAAGCAAGAGGUUUAUUGCAAAACAUAAAAAAUGCUGUGCUAUAGAAGACAUACUUUUUUGGAGUGCCAGAAGUACCCCAGAAGCCUAAAAUAUCCCAGGAUCUAAAAUAGAACAGUAUAGGGGUGGCCUGGUGGUGGUGUGGUUAAGUUCACACACUCUGCUUUGGUGGCCCAGAGUUCACCAGUUCAGA
ensembl:lncRNA